UACGAAGGGGGCUAGCGUUGCUCGGAAUCACUGGGCGUAAAGCGCACGUAGGCGGAUUGUUAAGUCAGGGGUGAAAUCCUGGAGCUCAACUCCAGAACUGCCUUUGAUACUGGCGAUCUUGAGUCCGGGAGAGGUAAGUGGAACUGCGAGUGUAGAGGUGAAAUUCGUAGAUAUUCGCAAGAACACCAGUGGCGAAGGCGGCUCACUGGCCCGGUACUGACGCUGAGGUGCGAAAGCGUGGGGAGCAAACAGG
rnacentral:rRNA from 1 species